rnacentral:rRNA from 1 species
AGAACGAACGCUGGCGGCAGGCUUAACACAUGCAAGUCGAACGCCCCGCAAGGGGAGUGGCAGACGGGUGAGUAACACGUGGGAACGUGCCCAAAGGUACGGAACAACUCCGGGAAACUGGAGCUAAUACCGUAUGUGCCCGAAAGGGGAAGAUUUAUCGCCUUUGGAUCGGCCCGCGUCUGAUUAGCUAGUUGGCGGGUAAUGGCCCACAAGGCGACGAUCAGUAGCUGGUCUGAGAGGAUGACCAGCCACACUGGGACUGAGACACGGCCCAGACUCCGUACGGGAGCAGCAGUGGGGAAUAUUAGGACAAUGGGCGCGAAGCCUAGGAUCCAGCCAUGCCGCGUGAGUGAUGAA